AAAUUUAUCCCUUUGGAGUCUUCUUGAUGCUUUCUGUGUGCCAUUUCUUUUCAUUUCUGGGUGUAUUUGUGUAUUUUUCUCUCCCACGCCCUGUCACUAUCCCCAAACCUCCCUUGUCUCCCAAUCUGCUUUCCCCCCUAUGGCUUAUGCCUUUAAUAAAAAUCCCUCAUUUUUUCUAUUCUUAAGACAGACUUCAUUCAUUGACCCAACUUUAUCAUCAUUCUUUGACCAUGGCAUCGUACUCAAAAGAUGGAAAUGUCACUGCAUUGAUAUGGGGAGCAUCACCACAAUCACGAUCUGAUCGGCAGAAGGACCGAGUUGAGACAAAUCCUGAACAGUUGGCAGCUGCAUCAGGUUAGAUAAGUCAAAGUAAACAGGAGGGGUCUGAAAGAGGGACGGGAUUACAAAAUUUGUCAACUAUUUCUGCUCAACAUAAGAAAGUUGGUGAGAAAUCUCUUCUUUCAAUUUCUUCAUUAGUGCAGUAAAUUUGUGGGACACAGCACUAUGCAGUGUUCAACUUUGAUGAGACUAAUGUUAGAUGAGCCAUCAAUUUUGUUUUAUCUUUCCAUAGUGAAGUACAUCAUUUUGAGCUGCAAUUUUGAUAGAGGUGAAUCGAGUUCUUCUAACAGUGAAAGUGACCUUGAAAUUGCAAUGUUAAGGGAAACCAUUGCAAAUAGUUUAAUGAAUCAAUAUUUGUAAAAACAAAUUUGUAUCAAAACCUAAUUUCUAGUAAUAAUGAAACUUGUUAUGUCUUAUGUUAAUA